AUUGAACGCUGGCGGCAUGCCUUACACAUGCAAGUCGAACGGUAACAGGUCUUCGGAUGCUGACGAGUGGCGAACGGGUGAGUAAUACAUCGGAACGUGCCCGAUCGUGGGGGAUAACGGAGCGAAAGCUUUGCUAAUACCGCAUACGAUCUACGGAUGAAAGCAGGGGACCGCAAGGCCUUGCGCGGACGGAGCGGCCGAUGGCAGAUUAGGUAGUUGGUGGGAUAAAAGCUUACCAAGCCGACGAUCUGUAGCUGGUCUGAGAGGACGACCAGCCACACUGGGACUGAGACACGGCCCAGACUCCUACGGGAGGCAGCAGUGGGGAAUUUUGGACAAUGGGCGCAAGCCUGAUCCAGCCAUGCCGCGUGCAGGAUGAAGGCCUUCGGGUUGUAAACUGCUUUUGUACGGAACGAAAAGACUCUUUCUAAUAAAGAGGGUCCAUGACGGUACCGUAAGAAUAAGCACCGGCUAACUACGUGCCAGCAGCCGCCGUAACAC
rnacentral:rRNA from 1 species